UAUUAAAAAAUUUAUCAAUUUUUACUACUAAAAAUUGGCAUGGUUGACAGAAUAACAAACAAUUACACUUGACGUGCCAUGUGUACCUCAUGCUCCCGUACAAUAAUCAAUUUUUAACAGUAGAAAAACUAAUUUUUUUUUUC
rnacentral:pre_miRNA from 1 species